rnacentral:pre_miRNA from 1 species
UAGGUACUCCCUCCGUCCAACAAAGGAUGUCUCAACUUUGACCAAAUUUGAAUGCAUCUAUACACUAAGUCAUGUCUAGAUACAUCCAAAUUUUGACAAACUUGAGACAUCUUUUGUUGGACGGAGGGAGUACAUA